AAAAAAAAAAAAAAAAAAAAAAUCCACCACAUUCCAAGAAAAAAGAGUGACAACAUUUUCACAUUACAAAGAUAUAAGAAAUAGACCAUAUGAGCAUUCAGAUAGAAAAAAGUAAGUUUCCUAUGCAGGAACAGAAAUCUCUCUGGCCAUAGACUUUUUUUUUUUUUUUGCACCACCCAAGAUCAGAAGACAAUGAAACCACAUGUAGUAGAGUUUUCAGGGGGAAAUGUUGGGAACAACCUCAUGCCCAACUAAGUCUGUUGUCUUUCAAGGUAACAGUAUAUACUUUCAGUACCAUAGACCUGGUACCAUAGACCUUCCCGUCCCUUCAUUAACACAUCUCAAAGAUCUACUACCUGAAAAAGCAGUGAAAAUGAAGAUCUCAGUAAUGAGGAGAUCAUGAUCCACAGGGACUUUAGGACCAGCGUUGUUCAUGCUGGACCCACACACAGGUAUUUGGCCUCUGUGUGGUCUGGUCAGUUCUGUGGCUAGGGGCUGCGGUUUGGCCUGCAAGAACCUCCCCGAGCUGCACCUCUUAAGGUUUCCGUCAUUUCCCAGAAAGUGUAUUUCUUGCACCACAUGCUUUACCUCAUGUUUCAGAAGAAAUGUCAUGAUUGAUGACCACAUGAAACUGAUUUGGCUCCAGGGUCUGUUAAUAUUGGCCAAACUAUUUACAUGGUUGAGAGCCAGUGCCAAGAAGAACCAAACACUUCCCCUUUCUCAAAACCAGAGCUGUGUAGUGCAUCGUAUUCAUUAUUUGCAUUACCAAGAACCUCACAUGUUUUCUAUGUCCUUUUUUUUUUUUCAAAGAGAUAGUCCCACUUUGUUGCCCAGGGUCUGCUCUUGAAAUCCUGGACUCAAGUAAUCCUUCACCUUAGUCUCCUAAAGUGCUGGCAUUACAGCAUGAGCCGCUGGGCCCAGUUGUUGUCUGCAUCUUUAAGACUUCAAUGUUUACUUGAUUUCUCUGACUUUUAACUGGGAAAGAAUAGUAAAAGGUCUAAGCAGCCACUGCAUCAGAAAGCUUCAGUUCAUACUAUCCUCCACUUGGGACUUGUGACUGUCCCUGUGUUACCUAUGGCUGGACUCAGUAUAUUCAUUAUGUUUAUAUAAUGCAAAUGUUUAGAAGUGAGGCCGAACUCUUUUUAAAUAUUUUUUAAAAUAAAUCUCAGAAUCAGAGAAAUUAUCAUUUCCUUUUGAUCUAAGAAGUUAGUGACUCAUUUUAGUAAGAGAAAUAUUUUUAAAGGCACAGAAAAAAGAGUAAGAAUUAUAAUUAUAUAAGAAUUAAAAUAUUUCUGACUAGAAAUAUUACAAUAUAACUAUUGCUGGGUAAUUAGCCCUCCGCCCACCUCUGAAAUUACUGACUUAAACAAUAUAUUUGGAACCUUUAGAAACAGAGCCAAUAGUGUAUAAACAUAUAUAUUAUAAGACCUUUAUUAUAGGCAGUUUAUUGCAAGGAGUUGGCUCAUGGAUUGUGGAAGACAAGAAGUCCCGUAAUCUGCCAUCUGCAAGCUGGAGACCCAGAAAAGCUGGUGGUGUAGUUCCAGAAUGAGUCGAAUGGCCUGAGAACCAGGGGCACUGAUGGGGUAAGCCCCAGUUUGAGUGCAGGAGAAGACUGAUGGCCCAGCUCAAGUAGUCAGGCAGAGGGACCAAGUUCUACCUUGCCAGGUCUUUUGUUCUGGCCUACAAUGGACUGGGGAAGGAACACUGGGGAAAGCAAUCUGCUUUACUCAGUCUAUGAUUCCAGUGUUAAUCUCAUCCAAACACCUUUACAGACAUACCCAGAAUAAGGUUUAUUGAAGUAUUUAGGCAUCUUGUGGUCUAGACAUAAAACUAACCAUCACAAACAACAUGCAUUUAUUAUGCUCACGGGUUCUGUGGAUCUGGAAUUUCAACAGGGCACAGGAGGGAGGGUUUGUCUUUAUUCCCUGGUGUCUGUGACCUUAGCUCAGUAAGUCCCAAGCUGGGAAUGACUUGGUAGCUGGGGGCUGGAAACAUCUGGAAGCUCUUUCAUUCCCCUGCCUGGUGCCUGGGUUGUCAUGACUUGAACAUUAGGAUUACUGAGCAGAGCAGUCACCAGCUUGCCCAGAUUCAGAGAAAUGGGGACACAGACCCCAACCUCAAUGAGCAGAGUAGCAAAAGAAAUUUCUGGCCAUACCUUCAAAAACGACCUAGUAAUAACUUGCUAACAUCUGUUUUCUUUGCCUCACAGGAUUUGGAAUGGUGUUCUGUGUUGAACUGUGUCCUCCCACCCGCUUCCAAAUUCAUAUGUUCAAGUUCUAACCCCCACUACCUCAGAAUGUGACUAUUUGGAAAUCGUGUAUUAAUUACUUAAGUUAGAAUGAGGUCAUACCGGAGUGGGGUGGGCCUCAAAUCCCAUGUAACCAGUGUCCUUAUAAGAAGGGGAAAUUUGGAUACAGAUUUGCACACUGGGAGGACACGAUGUGAAGAUGAAGGGAGAGGUCAGGGUAAUGUUCUGUCAACCAAGGGAUGCCAGAGAUUGGCAGUAAAACACCAGAAGCUAGCAGGGAGGUGUAGAACAGACCCUUCCCUCACAGCCCUCAGAAGGAACCAACCAGCCUUGCCAACACCUUGAUCUUGCACUUCUGGCCUUCAGAACUGCGAGACAAAAAAUGUCUGUUGUUAAACUGUGCAGUCUGUGGCACUUUGUUACAACAGCCCUCGCCAACAAAUACAGAUGGUUUUAAGUUUUUUUUUUUUUAUACUUUUCAUAUUUUUGACAGGGAAUGUAUAUUUCUUUAAUAAUGAGAGAAAUAGAUUUGGUUUAAUUUAAUGUUUUCAAUUUCUUUGUUCCAUAAAACAUGAAAAUACGCCAAAAUCUUUCCAUGGUUGUAUCUAGGUAAUGUGACUACAGGUAAUUUAAAAAAUCCCAUCUACUGAAAAUGUUUUCUCUAAUGAGUAUGUGUUACCCCUCUUAUGGUAAGGAAAAGAACGCUGGAAAAGCCGCUAUGGGAAGUGGAAAGAGCAGCUGCCCUGGGUUCCACUCCACUGGGGAGUAGCUCUGCGUCCGGUUCCCAGUGUGUAAUGGGGGAGUCUUCCUCGGUGUUGAGAGAAACAAAUGCAUCUGUGCAGACACACGUGGAACCCCGGAAUCCAGUGUCUGGCACUGGGACCUGGAACUUUAAAAGUUAGCCCCAAGAAUGAAAUUGUGUCCUUUGCCAAAACAUGGAUGGAGCUAGAGACCAUUAUCCUAAGUGAAUUAACGCAGGAACAGAAAGCCAAAUACUGCAUGUUCUCACUGAUAAAUGGGAGCUAAACUAUGGGUUCACAAAGGCAUACAGAGUGGUACUGUGGACAUUGGAGACUCAGAAUGGGGGAGGCUAGGAGGGAGGUAAGGGAUGAAAAAGUACCUAUUGGGUACAAUGUACACUACUUGGGGUGACGAUGGGCCCACUAAAAUCCCAGAUUUAACCACUGUACAAUUCAUCCGUGUAACCCAAAACCCACCUGUACCCCUAAAGCUAUUAAAAUAAAGAAAACCAAAUUAGCUCUG